GCGCGUUUAACAGGCUCAAGGAGGGAGCGAGCGGCUGUGAAUCAGAAAUGGGUUAAGAAUCAAGCAGACGCAGUCAAAACACACACACACACGCACGCACACUCAGGCACAGCAAACGGGUCGCAUUCCAGCGCUGGCAGCGGCAGCGGCAGCGGCAGCAGCAACCACUGCGGCUGCGCAGACACCUUGGCCGCUGUGUCAGUGCGCGUCGAGAUCUUGAACGGGCGAGUCGGCGAAUUGCGGAGAGUGGCCGAACAUUGAGGCAAAGCAAAAAGUAGAAUUUCAAAAAGCAACUUAAGAUAUGCGCGUGCCCCGCCGACACGCUCACACAGCACAAAUAUAUUUUUAGUGAUCUUCUCUCGCUGCGUGCGUGCGUGUGUGUGUUGAACUUUCUUUAGCCGCUGGGCGCUUGAGCAUGUUAUUUGUGAACGGCAAACCAAAGACAACAAAGCAAACAACAAGUGGCCGCGCAGGAAAGUGCAAAAGCGUCGCAAGCAGCAGGUUUCUUGGCAGACGUGGCAAACAUCAAAUUCAAAAAAGUGUACGCGGAAAUCAAUUAACGCCUGCAUUUUAGUGUGUAUGUAUAUUAACAUGUAUGUAUGUAUGUGUGCGCAUAUGAAAAGUGAAAGUACGAGCAACUUGGCGAAUAACUAAUAACAAAAGCAACCGCAAUAUUCUCACGCUGCGAAACCAUGUCCAGCCACAGCGUACAGCGACGCAAGACAACGCGCUCCAAGUCGAAACAGCAGCAACAACAACAACAACAACAACAACGGCAAAAUGUUGCGGAAAACCUCAUCGAAAAUCAAAACGCAAGCAACGAACAAAACGAAAGACUUCACUUUCGCAGCCGUUCAGCAACCUCAGUCGGUGCACUAGCAGCAGCGGCAGCGGCAGCGGCAGCGCCAAUCGAUUGCAAUUCAACUUCACCACUAUGCUGUAAUGGCAUGCUGCCCACCACAGCCAUCACCAUGCUCAACUGUUGCCGCGAUAUAAACUGCCACCUGAAUACCCCGCUGGCGCUACCAUUGCGCGGCAGCGUUGAGCGCAGUCGACGCUCAGCGAGUCGGCAAUCUUUUCUAGCAUCAGAAACGCUUAAGCCGACGACGACAGCAUCGCCUACGCCUACCUCUGCAUCUAAGCAGUCGCGUUCCCUUUCCCGUUCCCGUUCCCGUUCGCGUUCGCGUUCGUGUUCUUGUGAUGUCGGCGGCAACUCGUGCAAUAUUGGGGAUCCUCUCAGGCAGAGCCCAGACAGCGCUGCGGCAGCGAAAUUAACCGUUAGCCUGCACAUUGAUCUCAUCAGCUGGGGUCUCUUUCUGCUGGCGUUCUUAACGCGUUUCUAUAAGCUGGCAACGCCGCCGCAUGUUGUCUUCGAUGAGCUGCAUUACGGCAAAUAUAUAUCGCACUAUAUGCGCAACAUCUUCUUCUUCGAUCAGCAUCCGCCACUGGGCAAGCAGCUGAUAGCUGGCCUUGUCAGCUUUGUCGGCUACGAUGGCAACUACACAUUUCCACGCAUUGGCGCCACCUAUGCGUCAAAUGUGCCCGUCUUCUGGCUGCGCUUUGUGCCCGCACUUUGUGGAAGUCUGCUCGCGCCGGCCGUCUACAAGUUGCUGUUGGAAGCGCAGCUGCGUCGCUGGGCAGCAGCGCUUGGCGGCCUGCUCGUUGUGUUGGACAAUGCUCUGCUGACGCAGUCGCGUUUCAUACUCAUGGAAUCGAUGCUGCUGCUGGCCAGCACCGUGGGUAUUGCCUGUCUGCUGCGCUUCCAGCGCUGCUCGCUGGGCAGCCUCAACUGGCUAAGCAGCGGAGCGGCGGCUGCGCUCUUUCUUGCCUGCGCCGGCUGCGUCAAGUAUGUUGGCUUCCUGGCGCUGGCCCUUGCCGGUUAUUUGCUUUGUCGACAUCUCUGGAAACUGCUCUACGAUGCGACUUUGACAAAUGGCCAACUUUGGCUGCACGCACUAGGCAGACUGUUGCUGUUUGUCGGCAUUCCGCUGGCCGUUUACCUGGGCGUCUUUUACGUGCACCUAAAGACGCUACAUCGGGCGGGGCCACAUGACACCAUCAUGACGAGUGCGUUUCAGGCCUCGCUGGACGGCGGCCUGGCGUCGAUUACACGCGGCCAGCCGUUGGCUGUGGUGCACGGCUCGCAGAUAACGCUGCGGCAUACGCACGGACGCACCUGCUGGCUGCACUCGCAUGCCGCCGUGUAUCCGGUGAGGUACAAGGAUCAGCGUGGCUCGUCGCAUCAGCAGCAGGUGACAUGCUACUCGUUCAAGGACGUGAACAACUGGUGGAUUGUGAAGCGGCCGGAACGCGAUGAUCUGGUGGUGGGCGAACAGCCCGAUGUCAUACGACAUGGCGAUGUCAUUCAGCUGGUGCACGGCAUUACCAGCCGUGCGCUGAACUCGCACGACGUGGCGGCGCCCAUGACGCCGCAAUGCCAGGAGGUCAGCUGCUACAUUGACUACGAGAUCAAGAUGGCCGGUGAGCUGCUGUGGCGCGUCGAGAUACUCAACCGUCAGACCGAGGGCGAUCGCUGGCAUGCCAUCAAGUCGGAGAUACGUCUUAUACACGAGACGACGGGCGCCGCGCUGCGCUUCAGUGGCCGCCAGCUGCCCAGCUGGGGCUUCAAUCAGCACGAGGUGGUCGCUGAUCGCGAUCCAAUGCAUCAGGAUGCCAUUUGGAACGUGGAGGAGCAUCGCUACACCAAGACUCAGGAUCAGCGUGAACGUGAGCGCCAAUUGCUCUCCGCCGAGAUGAUUCCCACCAAACGGACCAAGCUCUCGUUCUGGGCCAAGCUGCUCGAGCUGCAGACCAAGAUGUUCUGGCAUGCCAAACAGGUGCAGAGCCACAUGUACAGCUCCCAGCCGCACGAGUGGCCGCUGCUGGACAAGGGCAUCGCCUACUGGCUGGACGACAGCUCCAGCGCCCAAAUCUAUCUGCUGGGCAAUGUGCUCAUCUGGUAUAUGGCCAGCGCGGGUCUGUUUCUCUAUGCCGCAUUGCUAGUCUUUUAUGCGCUGCGUCGCCGUCGCUUGUGUUUUGAUGUCUCCGCCGGAGAAUGGAGGCGCUUCCUUGGCGCCGGCGACACCUUCUUUGUCGGCUAUCUGGUGCACUAUUUGCCCUAUUUCUUUGUGGAUCGUACGCUCUUUCUGCACAACUAUCUGCCGGCGUUUGUCUUCAAGCUGCUGCUGCUCUGCUAUGUGCUCGACCAUGUCGACUAUCUGCUGUGGAGCCACUGCAGCCGCAGUCGCAGCCGACUAGCUGUGCAUCUGGUGCGCAUCUAUCGUCUGGCCCUGCUGCUCUGGCUGAUUGCCGUCUGCGCGGUCUUCAUCAAGUUCUUGCCAUUGAGCUACGGCUCCAGAAAGAUGUCCGCCAAGGAAAUCAUCGAUUUGCGCUGGAAGGACACCUGGGACUUUAUACUCCAAAAGAAUUAUGCAUUGCAAUAAGCCAUCCCUGCACUCCUGUGUACAAUUAACCGUAAUGAUCCAGUUAAGGAGCUGCUCGAACAGUUUGGCUGGUGCCAAGCCACGCAUAAAUUGAUAGAUGUCGGAUUAGAAUAAGUUCCAUAGAACGGCAACUAAUCCAAAGCCGGAUUGGAGUUUGAGGCCCAGCCUAAAUCCCCCUCAGUUUUCGACAAAAGCUUUGUCGCAACAUAUUGAUUAAGAUUGUCAGAGCGUCGGACCAACAAGCGGGCAGUCGGCGGUUCAAACCCAGCAAGAAUUCUCUACAAUUUUUUAUAUGUUUAUCAAUUUGUUAUUGUGCAUUUAAUCCACCUGGAAUUGGAGCCGAGCAAUGCCGCUUAAUU